AGUGCCUGGGGGGAGGAGGAGGGUCAGGGUGAGGAGCUUCCCAUUUCAGCCUCUGGCACCAACUUCUCCGUUGAGACCGGGCAGACGGGGAAGAGAGAUAAGAAAAAAAUGCCAGGGCUCCGGUUGUACACAGAAGCUUUUCUAAAGCAGUUGGAGCUGCAGAGAAAGGCUCUUCACACGCUGGAGCUGGAGGAAACCUCGAGAUCACAGCCGGGGAGUCACAUGCUGGGGCCUCGAUGAGCCCCCAACAGGGAAAAUUAUCCGUCCAAGGCCACGCCCACCAGCAUGCCAUUCCUGCCAGGCCUGUCUCUGACCUGCCUCCGUAAAUAAAAGCCUGUAAGGGA